GGGAAAUCUCACACUCGCAUCCCAGAGCGGAGAAAUCAGUGUGUGCGUGUGUGUGUGUGGAUCAGAUGAGUUGGGCUCGCGCAGUCUGACCGUCAUGUGACGGCCUGGAGCGGAAAUCGCGGCGCGCGCACUGGAGCCAGGGGCAGAUUUGUGGAUCAGAGGAGUUGUGGGUUCAGAGGAUUUACUCUGACGGAGGAAAAUGCCCCAAUGUGCUGUACGGCGUUGGGUUCGAGACUGUGGGCAGAGCCUGCAUGGCGGUACAGCACCAUGUCCUUGGCGUGUCCCCUCUUGCACGUGGCGGCGUCCAGCAGCUCGGCGACGCGGGAGGACAUGUUCCCCGGGAACAGCAUGGCGGGCGUGCAGCACUCGGUGGCCGGAGACACGGCGUACAGCUGCGGAGAGAUGCGCCUCAGCUCCAGCAGGUAGUGUCGCCCUAUAAGCUCCGCCCCCACCAUGAUGUAGGCCACCAGGAAGAGGAAGAGAGGCACAGAGAAGGGCGGAGAGAAUCGAGGGAAGAAGCCCAGAAAGAGAAGAAUCAGCGACGCCCCAAACACGCCGAGCCCCACCCACUCCAGGAUUCGGUACAACUCUGGGUUCCAGUAGCGCUGCAGCCGCUCGGGGUGAUAUAAUUUCACAUACAGCGAGUGUGAAAUGAACCUGCGGCUGAGUACAUCGCGGAUGAUGGAGAAGAAGUCGGCGCCGGCCAGAGCGUCGUCCUCCAGCACCACCACGUUCCUCGGCUUCAUCGUCUCCACACUCUGACGCAGACAGAACACGUAAUCUCUCUUCUCCUUCUCGAACACGUUCACGUCCUGGUCCACACCCUUCCCCCGCCUCACCACGCGGAACCGCUUCUCCACCAGCACCGCGUCCUCGUUCUCCUGGGGACCGCUUUCAACGUCACACACCAGCACGGCUGCACAAGGGGCGUCGCCACAUCCCUGCAGGAGGAUGUCCAACCGCCGCAUCACCUGCAGCAGGUAGUGAUACUGCAGCCCAUCAAUCCUGCGCGCCGUCACCACUGUCACCAGCAGCUCCGGCCGCUCAGAGACGUCCCCCUGCACGGCUCCACCCACCACCACAUCCCGCCAGUAUGCGAGCGCCUCCUGCCCGUCCACGUAGCUCCGCCUCAGGACCUCCUCACUCCUCUGCCCCAGGUACCAGGAUUUCAGGAAGUAGUAGGAGUAGAGAGCGCGAUGGCAGCACAGGGGCAGGAGCACGCCAAACGUCAGCACACACACCACCAGCACCCGGGUCACAUGACUCGACCAGCGCAGACGCUGCAGCACUACAGCUCUCCAUCGACGCAUCUGUGUGACCAGUGCUCUGUAACACACACACACACACACACACACACACACACACACACACACACAGUCUCUUCUAUUAUUCCUUCUCUCCCUCUGUGUUUACAGAAGUUUCAUUGGGUGCGUCUCAUUUCUUAUUCGUGCAUCCUCACUUCCUUUCCUUGAGUCUUAGCGCCAGCCCUUUAGGAUGUGAGGGUGAGAGGAACAGAAGCAAGUCAAACGGAAGUGAUGUCGACUAACGAUGAUUGUGCUUCAAGAAUCUGUCGUUAUGUUGGAGUUCGGUUAAUAACAACAUUCUUAAUUAAUCUAAACGCACUGAUAUUAUGUGAAAUGUCUGUUAUUCAACAAUCAAUUAAUAAACAAUACAUCAUUUAUCGCAUAUUUUGACUGAUAUAAAGUUGGCUUGACGUUGGAUAUUCACAGAUAUGCGGAAAUUAAGGGAGUGUCUCUAAAGGUACCUACGACAUUGUUAUACACGUUUCUAACUUCAAUAACAUUUGAAGGGAAUGACUUAUAGUCACACAACCAACUGUAAAGUGUUCAUCUAGGUGUCAGGUAUGACACACACCUUUUAUAUUUUUUUAUAUUUAACCCUACAAUACAUGAACCAAAAAAACCUACACAAAUGCAUAGAGGGGCCAAAUUGACCCAUAUUGGAAUGAAUCAUUUUCUUCACACAAAAAAAGUACUAUUAAUGAAAUAAUUAAAAGUACUGACAAUACACAAAUGUUUUAAUAUUUCAAAGAUGUUUAUUUGUUUUCUGCAUUUUAUAUCUAUCAGCUGGCCACCAGAUAACUGCCUUGUCGACUCAACCUACAUUUUUGAAAACUGGUGGAAAACUGCUGGCCGCCAGGGGGCGCCCGGGGGGCCUCAACAAUUUGGUGUGAAAAAUAAAUUCUCACUCUCAGACAACCACACACACACAAUCAAUUCCUAAUAUAAUGUAAUGUAAAGAUGUAAGAAGUAAUUAUUAAUAAAAAAAGAAAGGGGAUAUAUUCAGAAGUCUGUAUUUUUAAUAUGUUUUAAAGACAUCUUGCAAAAGGGGGGCCUCGGUCAAAUGUUAAUGCCAUUUGGGGGGCCUUGCCCUGGAAAAGUUUGGGAACCCCUAGUAUAGGGAACUGUGUGUUUAGAGAGAGAGAGAGAGAGAGAGAGAGAGAGAGAGAGAGAGAGAGAGCGCGAGUGAAAGAAAAACUAAUUGAUUACUGAGCAAUUUGAUAAGUUUAUUAUUCUUUUUUCAGACUGAAUGUCACCACUGCAGGUGGUUCCAUGUGACGCGCCUUUCUAUGUCAGAGAAACAGUUCAACACGGCUCAAAAAGUUUACUGGAAAUGCUGUAAAUAAUGUUGAAUUCCUUUGGCUCCCAUACACAAUGUGUCUAAACAUGUACAUAAAUAAAUUAACCUGUACACAGUUCCCUAUUUACAGUUUUCAAAAAAUUGCACUCAGUUACCAAAAUAUCACUUUGUGUAGGCUUUUUGGG